UGUAUUAUUUUUUUCUGUAGAGGAAAAGAUUCUCAUGUAUUCUGCAUUGAAGCAAAAUAUGGGAGAAUGGAAGAAUUCAGGUUUAUUAAAGAAAGUCCAGAAAAAAAGCAGCAGUGGACAUAUUCUAUUUCACCCUACUGCUGGUGCCAAGUUUUCAUUGAUACUGAUGGCUUAGGACAGUUUGGCCACAGAAACUAUAAUAGACCACAUUAAAUAAAUUAAAAGACAUUUCCUGGGGGAGAAGUGGCAAAUUCACUAUAGAUGACCUUGAUCCUGUGAUCCACCCUGGCAGACAAUCAGUGUUCCUCCAGCUUUUCUGCAGAAGCAGAGUAAGAGUGUAGAGCAAGACUCCAUUUCCUGAAGACAGAUCUAUUUUAACAACAACCCCCAAGCUGUUGAAGUGUGAGGUACAGAAAAAUUUAAGGUCUUCUGUUGAAGUUAGAAGACUGGUUUAUAUCAAGAGUAGCUGAGUAACUUGCAACAA
rnacentral:lncRNA from 12 species